rnacentral:tRNA from 1 species
GUGGAUGUGGCUCAGUGGUAGAGUACUUGCCUAGCAGGAACAAAGUCCUGGGUUCAUAUCCCAGCAACACACA